UACGUAGGGUGCAAGCGUUAAUCGGAAUUACUGGGCGUAAAGCGUGCGCAGGCGGUCUUGCAAGACAGAUGUGAAAUCCCCGGGCUCAACCUGGGAACUGCAUUUGUGACUGCAAGGCUAGAGUACGGUAGAGGGGGAUGGAAUUCCGCGUGUAGCAGUGAAAUGCGUAGAUAUGCGGAGGAACACCGAUGGCGAAGGCAAUCCCCUGGACCCGUACUGACGCUCAUGCACGAAAGCGUGGGGAGCAAACAGG
rnacentral:rRNA from 1 species